rnacentral:lncRNA from 1 species
CCUAGAAUUCAGAAAGCAACAAAUAGAACAAUUCCUCUCUCUUGGGACUUCAUUUUCUUGGAUCUGAAUUUUUAAGUCCUGAAGAUUCUGAAAUAUUCCAAAGGAUUAGGAGUUUAAAAUUCUCUCUUCCUCAUGGAGGAAAACCAGGAGAUAUACAAAGAGGUAUCCUGCUAGAGGAUCCCAGGCUAACGAUGGAUUAGGGAAGAACAGAUGAUGUGUCCAAGCGAGGAGGACAUAAGAGAAGCAAGGUGCCAAAUAAAGAAUGAG